UACGGGGGGGGGCAAGCGUUGUUCGGAAUUACUGGGCGUAAAGGGUUCGUAGGUGGCGCACUAAGUCAGACGUGAAAUCCCUCGGCUUAACCGGGGAACUGCGUCUGAUACUGGAUGGCUUGAGAUUGGGAGAGGGAUGCGGAAUUCCAGGUGUAGCGGUGAAAUGCGUAGAUAUCUGGAGGAACACCGGUGGCGAAGGCGGCAUCCUGAACCAACACUGACACUGAGGAGCGAAAGCCAGGGGAGCAAACGGG
rnacentral:rRNA from 1 species